UGGUGCGAUGGUUGUCGUCAGCUCGUGUCGUGAGAUGUUGGGUUAAGUCCCGGCAACGAGUGCAACCCCUGUGGUUAGUUGCCAGCAAGUAGCGUUUGGGCACUCUAGCCAGACUGCCGGUGAUAAAUCGGAGGAAGGUGGGGACGACGUCAAAUCAUCAUGCCCUUUAUGUCCUGGGCUACACACGUACUACAAUGGCCGUUACAACGGGAAGCGAAGGAGCAAUCCGGAGCAAAUCCCUUAAAGGCGGUCCCAAGUUCCAGAUUGUGGGCUUGAAACUCGCCCACAUGAAGGCGGAAUUGCUAGUAAUUGCAGAUCAGCAUGCUGCAGUCGAAUACGUUCCCGGGCCCGUU
rnacentral:rRNA from 1 species